CAAGGAAGCGCUAAGAAGGAGGAUGUGGGGGCAGUGUUCCAGCAGGCAUCCCAGGCUCUUCCGGCUGGAGAGCUCAGGAGACUGAGCGGUGUCAAGGCUGGAGUGAGCUAUAGGGUGCGCUGGGAGGAGGAUGGCCCAGGAGGUGGUCUGGGCACCGAAGAAUCGCGCUGGCCCUGACCGCAUGCCCCAGCCUUCCUGGGGUUUGUGAGGAGCUCUGAAGAACAGCAAAACACAGUAGUCCCAAAAAAGAGAGUAAGAGAGAGCAGCCCAUCUAAUAGAGUGUCCCGGAGGCCAGCGCCAGCGGGUGCUGUAAGGAGCCCGGCGGCGGCAGGUGGGAAUUGAUUGAGCUGGCUGCACUUGUGUACCAGGAUGCAGAGUUCUCCAGGCCCCAGCUGGGUUGGAGGAGUAAAAGGAAUGGGACAAUCCAGGAAGACUUCUCACGUACAAUAGCGCCCCCCACCUCGCGACCCUUCGGUGGCCGUGGCCUGAAGCUCCCGUAGGCUCAGGGCACGACCCUUCAGUUUCUCCGCUCCAGGCGACGUUCUCAGCCUUUUCUUAGCCUGAGACCACCGCGAGAACACCAGGCCUUGCUCACCCCCGAGGAGGCUCUACAUUGUUAAGAAAACCAGAUAGCUGCUCUGGGCUGCCUAGGCCGCCCUAGAAAUAACCCUCCGCUUGCUUUCAACCCGCGAAAUUGGCCCCACAGCUCCGGAGGCCCGCUACGGGGUGGGGGCGGGGGGCGCGGUUAGUGGGAGGUAUCUCCAGACCGCUGAUGAAUACCAUCCCCACCGUCUCAAGGCCUGACUCACCGAGUUAAAGCAU
rnacentral:lncRNA from 1 species